rnacentral:rRNA from 1 species
GACGAGCGCUGGCGGCGUGCCUAAUACAUGCAAGUAGAACGCUGAAGGAGGAGCUUGCUUCUCUGGAUGAGUUGCGAACGGGUGAGUAACGCGUAGGUAACCUGCCUGGUAGCGGGGGAUAACUAUUGGAAACGAUAGCUAAUACCGCAUAACAGUAGAUAUCGCAUGAUAUCUACUUGAAAGGUGCAAUUGCAUCACUACCAGAUGGACCUGCGUUGUAUUAGCUAGUUGGUGAGGUAACGGCUCACCAAGGCGACGAUACAUAGCCGACCUGAGAGGGGGAUCGGCCACCCUGGGACUGAGACACGGCCCAGACUCCUACGGGAGGCAGCAGUAGGGAAUCUUCGGCAAUGGACGGAAGUCUGACCGAGCAGCGCCGCGUGAGUGAAGAAGGGUUUCGGAUCGUAAAGCUCUGUUGUAAGAGAAGAACGAGUGUGAGAGUGGAAAGUUCACACUGUGACGGUAUCUUACCAGAAAGGGACGGCUAACUACGUG